GUUGAGAAGCAUGCUGGAGGUAUCAGAAGUGCGAAUGCUGACAUGAGUAACGACCAAUCCCGUGGGAUCCGGGAUCGCCGAAGGUUCCAGGGUUUCUGCGCCCCGUGACUCGGCGCAGAGUGAAUCGGUCCCUCCGACCCGCGCGAAGGCGCUGGGUCCAGGGGACGCCCCCCGCCGACGGGGGAGGCCGGAAGGACCUCCGGAGCGGGAAACCGGGGGUCCCGGGGGCCUCCCUCCAGGAAAGAAGUGGGGGGGCCGGGGACCUCGGUCUCCGGCCACGGACCGUACCCCAAACCGACACAGGGGAACAGGCGCGCAAGGCGCUCAGGCGAUGGAAACAACCCCAGUGAAGGAACUCGGCAAAUUGCCCCCGUAACUUCGGGAGAAGGGGGGCGGCGCGGGGGGCCCCGCGCCGCGGCACAGCGUAGGGGGCAGCGACUGUUUCGUAAAAACACAGGACUCUGCGACCUCCUCGGGAGUAGGUAUAGGGUCUGACACCUGCCCGGUGCUGGACGCUUCACAGGACGGGUU
rnacentral:rRNA from 14 species